UACAGAGGCCUCAAGCGUUGUUCGGAUUCAUUGGGCGUAAAGGGUGCGUAGGUGGCGCUGUAAGUCGGGUGUGAAAUUUCGGAGCUUAACUCCGAAACUGCAUUCGAUACUGCGGUGCUUGAGGACUGGAGAGGAGACUGGAAUUCAUGGUGUAGCAGUGAAAUGCGUAGAGAUCAUGAGGAAGACCAGUGGCGAAGGCGGGUCUCUGGACAGUUCCUGACGCUGAGGCACGAAGGUCAGGGGAGCAAACGGG
rnacentral:rRNA from 1 species